rnacentral:lncRNA from 1 species
GGAGAAGUCGUGUUUUUGUACUUUAUUUAUAAGCCUAGAGGAUUCAGAAUACAUGAAAAAGUAAAAAAAAACAAGGGUAGCAACACUAUAACACAUUUGAUGAGGGUUGAAAGUCAAAAUUACUCCAGUGAGGGAACAGGGGGAUUAUGCUCUAAAUAUUUCUAUAGCAUAAAAAAGAGAAAAGGGUUAAGAUGUGAAUGGAUCUGUAUAAAGGAAACGGUAAGUUUUGCCAUUCUUUUAUUUUUAUGUUAGGGAGCUACCAUUUGAUUUUUAUGGGGGGGCUAGGAUGAAAUUUGAAAAAAAUAGGCAGGACAGGAGUUUUGAGUAAAAAAAAAAGGCAGGAUGAGACACUUGCAAAAAAAAAGUAAGGACGACAAUUUAGGUAAAAAAAAAGUCAGGAUAAACUAAAAAAACAAGGCAGGACCGAACACAGGGAAAAAUAAAAAGGCAGGACAGAGAUUACAGCUAAAAAAAAAAUGCAGGACAAAAUUUUUCAUCCUAGCCCCCCC